AAAACCCGAAAAAUUCGAUUUCGCUUUUUCGUGUCAGCAGUCGGCAGACAUAUUGGAUAGGCGGCCAAAGAAUAUUAAAUAUUCCUUGAUAGGCGGCAAUAAAAGUGGACUUCAUUCUUCAUCGUGAAGUGAGAAUCGAAGCCAGCUAACAAUCGCCAUGCCAGGCACGUCAGGUUCUCGCUACAGGUGGCAAUCCAUAGUCGCUGACCGAUGAUGCAGCAGCUGCCUAGGUCAGUUGGUACCAUCAAAAACAGAAGCCGCCGGAAGUGUAAGGUUCGAAUAAAUGUGACUGAAACCAUCUACCAUGAAGACUAACUUCAGUGGUUCCGCCGAGAUAGGAAGAAACGGAACAGCCAUAUAAGAUACAGUUUUUCAAUUUAUAAACUUUUUAAAUGAAAAUAAAUAAAUAAUACACCUAUCAUCAAAAA